rnacentral:rRNA from 1 species
GCCCGCAGCCAUAUCACCCUGUAGCCCAAGACUGGUUGCCCACUGAAGCUAAGCAGGGUUGAGCCUGGUCAGUACCUGGAUGGGAGAUCUCCUGGGAAAACUAAGUUGCUACUGGAA